CUGAACGUGACUCUGCCAGCCAAGAUAUCAACCUGAAUUCUAACAAAGGUCUGCUCUGACUCCAUGACCGAUGUCCCUGUCGACACAGGUGUGGCUGCCCGGACUCCUGCUGUUGAGGGUGAGGGUCUGACAGAGGCUGAGGAGGAACUCAAGGCUGAGCUGACCAAGGUGGGAGAGGAAAUUGUCACUCUACACCAGGUCCUGGCAGCCAAGGAGACGCACUGCGGAGAGCUCAAGAACAGGCUGGGCCUCUCCACCCCGGGGGUUUGAAACAGACGCUGUCCAGGAGCUGCCAUGAUGUGCAGGUCUCUAACAGCUAUAGGCAGACUAAGGAAACUCUUUCACAGGCAGGACAGAAGGCUUCAGCUGCCCUGUCGACAAUGGGCUCUGCCAUCAGCAGGAAGCUUGGAGACAAUGAGGAACUCUGCAACCUUCAAGUUGUUUGAGGACCGAGUUGGGACCAUAAAGUGUAUGGCUGUGGGCCGGCUGCGACAGAACGGCAGUGACAACCUCCCUUCCUCAGUGGGGAAUGGUGACAAGCCCCUGUCGGAUCCCACACUUUUUUAAGCCCGAGGUUGCUUCGCCCACCGCAGAGCACACGCAGCACACCCUCAGCAUCACAGCCUGCGCAGCGGAGCAGCCAGCCAGGCAGAUGAGCAGAGCCGGCCUGGACCACAGUCCUGCCCAUCCACACGGAGAUGCGGCUGCUGCGUUCGCAGGAAUUAGAGAACACAGUCUUGUACACAGAUGUUUUACACUAAAGUUUGUAGAUGAACCAGAUCACUGUGCCGUCCUUCCUAGGGGUGCAGGAAGGGGACAGGGCGGAGGAUUUGAGAGAAUUGAGCCAAUACCCAGGCUCCCUUUGGGAAUCUUGUUAGCCCACUCAGAAUGUUGAAGGAUUGAAGAGUCCUAAGC